GACAGAGGGUGCAAACGUUGUUCGGAAUUACUGGGCGUAAAGCGCGUGUAGGCUGCUCGGAAAGUCGGAUGUGAAAGCCCUGGGCUCAACCUAGGAAGUGCAUUCGAAACUUCCGAGCUGGAGUUCUGGAGAGGAAGGCGGAAUUCUCGGUGUAGAGGUGAAAUUCGUAGAUAUCGAGAGGAACACCGGUGGCGAAGGCGGCCUUCUGGACAGUGACUGACGCUGAGGAGCGAAAGCGUGGGGAGCGAACAGG
rnacentral:rRNA from 1 species